CCACGGGUUUAGAAAAGUCAAUCAAGUAUCAUAUGAUGUUAAAAAUAACAAAAACAAAACAAAACAAAACAAAACAAAAACCCAGCCAGGCACAGUGUCAUAUGCCUAUAGUCUCAGCUAUUUGGGAGUCCAAGGCAGGAGGAUGGCUUGAACCAAGGAGUUUGAGUACAGCCUGGGCAAGAUAGUGACAUAGUGAGACCCUGUCUCUAAAACAAAAGAAAACAAAAAACUAACAACAAAUACUAGUUAACUUUUAGCAGUAAUAAAGAAAUGGAUUAAUGAAAGGAAGAAAUGAAAACAUCAGCCUACAUUAAAACAUAAAACUAGAGAAAAUAAACAGUAGACAAUAACUUAAAGAUACAUCAGUUCCAUUAACUUGCCUUUGCUUUCACCAAAAUACAUGUUUGCUCUGAAUAAUAAAGAUAAACAAGAAAGGCAUAAUACUUACUUUAAGGGAAACCCAUCCUAUAGCAGUAGAAGUAUUUGUAUCCAAAUGAGUACAAAAUAUUAUAAAGACCCAGUACAAGAGGGAUAUGUAAUCUACAGCUAUAAAAUAGCAAAAGUGAUUAAUUUUGUUGAAAUGAGAGCAAAAUGAUAUACAGAAAAAGUUCACAGAAGCUGUGAUGGUUAAGCAGGACUGUGAAGACUGAAUUAAAAUUCAGUGUGUGCACAAAGAAGUGAAGGGCAUUACAGGGCAUCAAUAAAUAAAUGUUCAUAGAAAGGAAGAAAUUGCAGUCGAAGAGAAAGCACUUUCUUGAAACUACUACCACCACCAGACUGUCUCUUUCUUGUUGAUUUUUAUAACUACCUGUAUCUGGCCGGGCAUGGUGGCUCACGCCUGUAAUCCCAGCACUUUGGGAGGUCAAGGCAAGCGGAUCACUUUAGGUCAGGAGUUUGAGACUAGCCUAGCCAACAUGGUGAAACCCCAUCUCUACCAAAAAUACAAAAAUUAGUUGGGCUCGUUGGCACACUUGUAAUCCCAGCUACUCAGGAGGUUGCGGCAAGGUAAACACUUGAAUCCUGGAGGCGGAGGUUGGAGGUUGCAGUGAGCCGAGAUCGUGCCACUGCACUCUAGCCUGGGUGACUGAGUGAGGCUCUAUGUUCCUGCAAAAGACAUGAUCUUGUUUUUUUUCAUGUUUGCAUGGUAUCUCAUGCUGUAUAUGUACCACAUUUUCUUUAUCUAGUCUGUCAUUGAUGGGCAUUUAGGUUGAUUAGACACACAUACACACACAGACACACAUAUAUAUAUGUAUAUAUAUAUACACAGAUAUAUAUAUACACACACAGAUAUAUAUAUGCAUGUAUACACAUAUAUAGAUAUUCCCUGCCUCUCGUGCUAUAAGGCUCCAAUCUGCCAUGUUCUAGACAUACACUGUUAGUAUUUUCUCUAAAGUAAGAUGAAAUCAGAUGCAUGCAUAAAGAAAAUUAGGGAAACUCUAAAGAGCAAAAUGAAGGAGGACCACUACAUUGGAUAGUGUGGAAGAGUUAGUAGGCGAGCUUUAAACAUCAAUUUUGAUUGUGCGAUGGCCUUUUCACUCAGUAACAAAUUUUCCAUCAUAUUUCAAAUAGUUUGAGUUGCCAUUAAAGUUGCCUCUGGAUAAACAUCUUUUUAUCAGUAUUUUUUUAGUGGUUCCAUCUCUUCAAUGCUGCAGCAAUAAGAAACCAAAUUUCAGGACAGAUAGAUGGGGUGGAAAAAAUAACUAGGCUAGAAGUUCUCACGACCAACAG
rnacentral:lncRNA from 10 species